rnacentral:lncRNA from 1 species
CUUUCCCUGUCCAUCACUGUCCAGAGAGGAGCAUCUCUCUCACUGUCUCUUCCCCAGCUACAGCAGAGCAAUGCCUUGAGCCCCCAGGUGGCCUUGAUGCUGGAACCUGGGCCCUGAGGACCCCCGCAGCCAACCUGCCCUCCCUCAGCGUGGACCCGUCACCCAGGUGACACAAGGGCAUGACAAAGAGUUGAAAUGAGAGGAGGCCGUUCAGCAGCUAAGGACGCCCACAAUCGCAUCCCACCACUCGCCCAGCUUUCUGCCUCUUUCAUUUCCAAAACCUUCAGUUUCCUGUGGCAAGAAGAAAUGAACAGAGAGAGAGGUACAGCCAGAGGUGAGAGAACUGGUCCUGUCAGGUCAGCCGUCUGCUGGAGAGAGAUCAGGCAGGCUGGCCAGGGGUCAGAGGAGUCUGGAGGAGUUCAGCUUCCAUUUCCUCACAAUAAUUGUAGGUUUAAAGUUUCAGCCUCAAAUAUACGGCCAGAAAAU